CCCUUAGAUGUUCUGGGCCGCACGCGCGCUACACUGAUGAACGCAACGAGACGACCUGUACCGAAAGGCAUGGGUAAACUUGUGAAAGUUCAUCGUGAUGGGGAUAGAUUAUUGCAAUUAUUAAUCUUCAACGAGGAAUUCCUAGUAAGCGCGAGUCAUCAGCUCGCGUUGAUUACGUCCCUGCCCUUUGUACACACCGCCCGUCGCUCCUACCGAUUGAAUGGUCCGGUGAAAUCUUCGGAUUGCUGGAUAGGAGGGCAACCACCUAUCUGCGAGAAGUUGUUUGAACCUUAUCAUUUAGAGGAAGGAGAAGUCGUAACA
rnacentral:rRNA from 1 species